rnacentral:rRNA from 1 species
AAUCAACGCUGGCGGCGUGCCUCAGACAUGCAAGUCGAACGAUUAAAGCUCCCGUUCGGGGAGUGCAUAGAGUGGCGCACGGGUGAGUAACACGUAAGUAAUCUACCUUUGAGUGGGGAAUAACGUUCGGAAACGGACGCUAAUACCGCAUAAUGCAGCGGCAUCGCAAGAUGACAGUUUGUUAAAGGAGCAAUCCGACUUAAAGAGGAGCUUGCGGCAGAUUAGCUUGUUGGUAAGGUAACGGCUUACCAAGGCUACGAUCUGUAUCCGGUCUAAGA